rnacentral:rRNA from 1 species
UGGCGGAAUGCUUUACACAUGCAAGUCGAACGGUAGAGGGGCAACCCUUGAGAGUGGCGAACGGUGAGUAAUAUAUCGGAACGUGCCAGUCGUGGGGGAUAACGUAGCGAAAGUUACGCUAAUACCGCAUACGAUCUAUGGAUGAAAGCGGGGGAUCGCAAGACCUCGCGCGAUUGGAGCGCCGAUAUCAGAUUAGGUAGUUGGUGAGGUAAAGGCUCACCAAGCCGACGAUCUGUAGCUGGUCUGAGAGGACGACCAGCCACACUGGGACUGAGACACGGCCCAGACUCCUACGGGAGGCAGCAGUGGAGAAUUUUGGACAAUGGGCGCAAGCCUGAUCCAGCAAUGCCGCGUGCAGGAUGAAGGCCUUCGGGUUGUAAACUGCUUUUGUACGGAACGAAACGGUGAGCUCUAAUACAGUUUGCUAAUGACGGUACCGUAAGAAUAAGCACCGGCUAACUACGUG